GCUAAGGUAGGACUGAUCAGAGACCGUGGCUAAGGUAGGACUGAUCAGAGACCGUGGCUAAGGUAGGACUGAUCAGAGGCGUGGCUAAGGUAGGACUGAUCAGAGACCGUGGCUAAGGUAGGACUGAUCAGAGAGCGUGGCUAAGGUAGGACUGAUCAGAGAGCGUGGCUAAGGUAGGACUGAUCAGAGAGCGUGGCUAAGGUAGGACUGAUCAGAGAGCGUGGCUAAGGUAGGACUGAUCAGAGAGACGUGGCUAAGGUAGGACUGAUCAGAGAGACGUGGCUAAGGUAGGACUGAUCAGAGGCGUGGCUAAGGUAGGACUGAUCAGAGGCGUGGCUAAGGUAGGACUGAUCAGAGGCGUGGCUAAGGUAGGACUGAUCAGAGGCGUGGCUAAGGUAGGACUGAUCAGAGGCGUGGCUAAGGUAGGACUGAUCAGAGGCGUGGCUAAGGUAGGACUGAUCAGAGGCGUGGCUAAGGUAGGACUGAUCAGAGACCGUGGCUAAGGUAGGACUGAUCAGAGACCGUGGCUAAGGUAGGACUGAUCAGAGACCGUGGCUAAGGUAGGACUGAUCAGAGACCGUGGCUAAGGUAGGACUGAUCAGAGACCGUGGCUAAGGUAGGACUGAUCAGAGACCGUGGCUAAG